GGGUCCAGCGACAAACUCAUGUGCAACAAUAGCAGCAGUCGCUUGGCUGCACUCAGACC
rnacentral:rRNA from 1 species